rnacentral:tRNA from 1 species
AGCCGGAAUAGCUCAGUUGGUAGAGCAGAGGACUGAAAAUCCUCGUGUCACCAU